rnacentral:rRNA from 1 species
UACGUAGGGUGCGAGCGUUAAUCGGAAUUACUGGGCGUAAAGCGUGCGCAGGCGGUCUCGUAAGACAGGUGUGAAAUCCCCGGGCUUAACCUGGGAACUGCGCUUGUGACUGCGAGGCUGGAGUGCGGAAGAGGGAGGUGGAAUUCCACGUGUAGCAGUGAAAUGCGUAGAGAUGUGGAGGAACACCGAUGGCGAAGGCAGCCUCCUGGUCCAGCACUGACGCUCAUGCACGAAAGCGUGGGGAGCAAACAGGAUUAGAUACCCUGGUAGUCCACGCCCUAAACGAUGACGACUAGUUGUUGGGGUAGAAGUACCUUAGUAACGCAGCUAACGCGUGAAGUCGUCCGCCUGGGGAGUACGGUCGCAAGAUUAAA